rnacentral:rRNA from 1 species
AUUGAACGCUGGCGGCAUGCUUUACACAUGCAAGUCGAACGGUAACAGGGUGCUUGCACCGCUGACGAGUGGCGAACGGGUGAGUAAUGCGUCGGAACGUGCCGAGUAGUGGGGGAUAACGCAGCGAAAGUUGUGCUAAUACCGCAUACGUACUGAGGUAGAAAGUGGGGGACCUUCGGGCCUCACGCUAUUCGAGCGGCCGACGUCUGAUUAGCUAGUAGGUGAGGUAAAGGCUCACCUAGGCGACGAUCAGUAGCGGGUCUGAGAGGAUGGUGCGCCACACUGGGACUGAGACACGGCCCAGACUCCUACGGGAGGCAGCAGUGGGGAAUUUUGGACAAUGGGCGAAAGCCUGAUCCAGCCAUGUCGCGUGUCUGAAGAAGGCCUUCGGGUUGUAAAGGACUUUUGUCAGGGAGGAAAUCCCUAGUGCUAAUAACACUGGGGGAUGACAGUACCUGAAGAAUAAGCACCGGCUAACUACGUGCCAGCCGCCGCCGUAA